UACACUCCUGCGGGAGGCAGCAGUGGGGAAUUUUGGACAAUGGGCGAAAGCCUGAUCCAGCAAUGCCGCGUGUGUGAAGAAGGCCUUCGGGUUGUAAAGCACUUUUGUCCGGAAAGAAAUCCUUGGCUCUAAUACAGUCGGGGGAUGACGGUACCGGAAGAAUAAGCACCGGCUAACUACGUGCCAGCAGCCGCGGUAAUACGUAGGGUGCGAGCGUUAAUCGGAAUUACUGGGCGUAAAGCGUGCGCAGGCGGUUUGCUAAGACCGAUGUGAAAUCCCCGGGCUCAACCUGGGAACUGCAUUGGUGACUGGCAGGCUAGAGUAUGGCAGAGGGGGGUAGAAUUCCACGUGUAGCAGUGAAAUGCGUAGAGAUGUGGAGGAAUACCGAUGGCGAAGGCAGCCCCCUGGGCCAAUACUGACGCUCAUGCACGAAAGCGUGGGGAGCAAACAGGAUUAGAAACCCGGGUAGUCCCAU
rnacentral:rRNA from 1 species